rnacentral:rRNA from 1 species
UACGUAGGGACCAAGCGUUGUUCGGAUUUACUGGGCGUAAAGGGCGCGUAGGCGGUCGUGACAAGUCACUUGUGAAAUCUCCGGGCUUAACUCGGAACGGUCAAGUGAUACUGUCGGACUAGAGUACAGAAGGGGCAACUGGAAUUCUCGGUGUAGCGGUGAAAUGCGUAGAUAUCAGGAGGAACACCGGUGGCGAAGGCGGAUCUCUGGGCCGUAACUGACGCUGAGGAGCGAAAGCAUGGGGAGCGAACAGG